rnacentral:rRNA from 1 species
UACAGAGGUCUCAAGCGUUGUUCGGAUUCAUUGGGCGUAAAGGGUGCGUAGGCGGCGCGGUAAGUCGGGUGUGAAAUCUCGGAGCUUAACUCCGAAACUGCAUUCGAUACUGCCGUGCUUGAGGACUGGAGAGGAGACUGGAAUUUACGGUGUAGCGGUGAAAUGCGUAGAUAUCGCUUGGAACGCCGACGGCGAAAGCAGUCUGCUGGGGGCCUUCUGACGCUGAGACACGAAAGCCAGGGGAGCGAACGGG